AUCAAAGUCUGAAUCAUUAUUAUAUCAAUAAUAAUGUAUCAAUUUGAUUAAUUUUUAACAAUCUUGAAUUAUAUUGGAUAAUGAUGAUAUACAAUCUGAUUUUCAUUUUAAGUAAAUUUGAAAUAUCAGGCCAUCCCAUAAAUAAUAUCAAUUUUUGCAUGUCCCACAGAAUUACUGGUUCUGGCAACCAGACAAUGAAAAACCAAAGGCAUGAUAAGACAUACCACAUAGCAUGCUCUCCAUGUAAUGUGAGGCAGAGAACAACAGUUGUACAUGCAUCCCUUGUGCUGUUAAAGUCCAUAGGAAAUGGCAGUAUCUGAAGAAUACAUAAGGCACAUUAUACUGAGUAGUAGUAUUAGUACAAGUUUAAUCAAGAACGUACAACAAUUAUAGUUACAUGAAAUAUCAAUACUGUAUAUGCUAAGAUACCCUGAAUGUCAGAAUUAUCAAGGAUAGUUCCAGAAAUUGAAAUUUGGGAACAGGACCCUCACUGAUAUGCCAUACAAAAGAUGACCUAUUGAGCUGGCUCAAUAGGUCAUCUUUCGUCCUGAGUGCUGUUGUUGAGGGGAAUCCAGAGGCAACAAUCAAGGAAUUGGUCACAAUUGUCUUUGAUCCUAUUCAACUAUUCACAGGUAUCUACAAGACCUUUAUCAUGUUUCAAAACUGUCAUGUUUCAGAACUGAUAAAUGAAUACCUCAUCAUUAAGCGAAGAACUAUAACUGCUUUAAACAUAAAUAUCAAAGUCCAAGAUACUUGCG
rnacentral:lncRNA from 1 species